UAGGUCUUGUUGGAGAAGCAGGGCACGUGCAACCGUAGAUCUCUCUCAAACUUCAAUCUCAUUUUGCACGUGCUCCACUUUUCCAACUUGAUCUU
rnacentral:pre_miRNA from 14 species